GUCCACACCGUAAACGAUGGAUACUAGGUGUAGGGAUGAAUAAUCUUCUGUGCCGUCGCAAACGCAGUAAGUAUCCCACCUGGGAGUACGGCCGCAAGGUUGAACUCAAAGGAAUUGACGGGGCCCGCACAAGCAGUGGAGUAUGUGGUUUAAUUCGACGCAACGCGAAGAACCUUACCAGGGCUUGACAUAUAGAGGAAUAACUAAGAGAUUAGUUAGCUCUUCGGAGUCUCUAUACAGGUGGUGCAUGGUUGUCGU
rnacentral:rRNA from 1 species